AACGAACGCUGGCGGCAGGCCUAACACAUGCAAGUCGAGCGGCAGCGCGGGGGCAACCCUGGCGGCGAGCGGCGGACGGGUGAGGAAUGCAUCGGAAUCUACCUCGUUGUGGGGGAUAACCUCGGGAAACCGGGACUAAUACCGCAUACGACCUACGGGUGAAAGUGGGGGACCUUCGGGCCUCACGCGAUGAGAUGAGCCGAUGCCGGAUUAGCUAGUUGGCGGGGUAAAGGCCCACCAAGGCGACGAUCCGUAGCUGGUCUGAGAGGAUGAUCAGCCACACUGGAACUGAGACACGGUCCAGACUCCUACGGGAGGCAGCAGUGGGGAAUAUUGGACAAUGGGCGAAAGCCUGAUCCAGCCAUGCCGCGUGUGUGAAGAAGGUCUUCGGAUUGUAAAGCACUUUAAGUUGGGAGGAAGGGCAGUAAGCUAAUACCUUGCUGUUUUGACGUUACCGACAGAAUAAGCACCGGCUAACUCUGUGCCAGCAGCCGCGGUAAAGUAG
rnacentral:rRNA from 1 species